rnacentral:miRNA from 1 species
UUGCUGAAGUUACAUUGGGAAGUGA